GAUGAACGCUGGCGGCGUGCCUAACACAUGCAAGUCGAGCGAGAAACUUGCCAUUGACACUUCGGUUGAUCUGGCAAGCGGAAAGCGGCGGACGGGUGAGUAACGCGUAGGCAACCUGCCCUUUACAGAGGGAUAGCCUCGGGAAACCGGGAUUAAAACCUCAUGACACCGUAGUAACACCUGUUACAUCGGUCAAAGAUUUAUCGGUAAGGGAUGGGCCUGCGUCUGAUUAGUUAGUUGGUGAGGUAACGGCUCACCAAGGCAUCGAUCAGUAACCGACCUGAGAGGGUAAUCGGUCACAUUGGAACUGAGACACGGUCCAGACUCCUACGGGAGGCAGCAGUGGGGAAUAUUGCACAAUGGGCGCAAGCCUGAUGCAGCAACGCCGCGUGAACGAUGAAGGUUCUAUGAAUCGUAAAGUUCUGUUCUGAGGGAAGAAACAAAUGACGGUACCUCAGGAGCAAGCCCCGGCUAACUACGUGCCAGCAGCCGCCG
rnacentral:rRNA from 1 species